ACUGCUUAGUUCAAGGCUGUGGUUAGGGCUGACACCCCUGGGGCGGGUGUGGGCAUCCCUGACAUCGCAGCAGUGGUUUGGUUUACACAGGCUGUUUGAUGGCAGGGGUGAACCUGGGGAACCUUCAGAGGAUUGGUUGUGUUAACCCCGGCUUCCUGGGGCUGGGGGAGCCCUCCCUCAUCUCUGCAGCGUUGGGGCGCAGAGGCUGCAGGAUCAGGAUUGGUGUGGGCGAGGAGGGAGGGGAAGGGGCCAUGCUGACAGCAGAGCUGCGCCUCCUGUCAGAGCGGCCUCAAGACCAGCCAUGAAGUAACCUGGGGACACUGAGCCAAGUUGUCCUUGUCCAUCCUGGGGUCAAGCUGAACUCCACUGCACUGACACGGAAAAGGGAAGGCAGGGCUGCUUCCCCUCAAGAGCCUUCACCUCAUGCCACCUGGAGGCCCUCUCCCGUGGGUCACCCACUCCCAAGGUGUUUCUGCUCUACUCCGUUCUGCAAAGAAACAGGAAGUGGCCGGUGCUGCACAGAGAGAGGUGCUGGCCAGGAGCCUAGAAUCUUCCCUCUGCUUUGGGAAGAAAUGUGAAGAUGGUCUGCGUUUGGAGCGAGCCCAGGGCGGAGGACGUUUGUCUGACAGCGUGGGCAGUUCAGCUCCUGCCCCAUCCUGCCAAGCAAUGGCCCAGGAACUGGCUGUCGGCAAAGGUGCUUUUGAGUGUUUAUGGGGUUGCCCUAAAGAGCUCAGUAUGCAGGGGCAGAGUGAGGCCUCUCAGCUGCUGCACCCCCCAGGGGUGGGACACAGGUGUCACGCUCGGCCACCGCCCAAGAAUGUGCAAAGGGGGUCAUCCUGAGGGAAAGAGCUGUCGCUGCGACCUGUGCGAUUUUUGUUUGGGGACAUUUUUACUGUGCACGGAGCGGCAGGAACAGCACAGUGCUCCCCCAGGUAGCUGCCCACCCUACCCGACCAGUACUCCUCUCGCUUCCUGCUGGAUUAUUUCAAACCAAAUCCAGGCACUGUACCAUUUCCCAUAAACAAGCAUACAUCUCUAAAAUAUAAGAGCUAUUUUUACCACAUGAUAAUCGUUCCCACGCUUUAAAACAGUAAGCCCUCAAAAUCCUUGUAUAUGUGUGUGUCAGUAGGACCUUGUUGUCUCUGGAUUGUUUUACUCUUUUUGCUUAGAAUUCAAAUCCAGAUAAAAUCAAUGGACUGUCUGGUUAGUUACGCGUAAAGCUGACCUGCAGGCCGCCCUCCCCCUUUCUUUGUCUUUUCCUUGCAGUUUUGCUGCUGGAGGAACUGGCUCAGCAUGUUAAAGAGUUUUCCACACUGUCUGCAUUUGGCUGAAUUCGUUUUCUCUGACCUUGCGUGUUCUGUGAACUUGUGGUGAGAUGGAGACACAGUCCGAUUUCAGUUCGAGCCUUGGGGGAGGUCCUCACGGGCCAUGUGCUCCACCACCCGCGCCUGACGUCUGCUCACUCCCUUGUGUGCGCUGUGCAGCUGCUGGUGACACCUGUGCCCCACUGGGACUUGCAAGUGGCAACAGCAGAUCACACCACUCCUUUAUGUUUGUUUAGCCAACGUGCUCUACACAGAGAAACUCCUCCUUGUCCGCUAUUUGACUGACAUUCAGAUGUACAGGAAAGUGCCUCACUGCUUGCUCCUCUUCCUCUAUUUGCUGGUACUGUGUGGUGGCACAUGUCUGCAAUCCCAGUGCCGCAGGAGGCUGAAGCAGGCAGGAAGACCACAGGCGCAAGCCCACCCUGGGCUCCUAAUGGCUUAGUGAGGCCCUGGCUUAGAAUAACAAAAAGUAAAAGAGGCCUUGGCAUGCAGCUUGGCGCAAAGGCCUUGGGCUCAGCCCCCAGCACUGCACUACAGCAGCGACAACAACACAGCAACAAUGUGUCCUCUAGGCCCAACAAAUGUGAUCAAUGAAGUUUCCACCGAUACGAUUUUAAAUGCAGCAAACUAAAUUCAGGGGUUUUUUUCUGUUUUAAAAAGUUGAUAUAUUUAACAGCUGUGUUAAUAAAUUCAACCUUUACUAUUAUAGAACACUAUAACAACUGCUUAUCUAUAACAACUUCUAAAUAAGUAUUACUUGAAUUUUACUAAAAUAUUGGUAAUCAUAUACAUUGAAGACUAGAAGUGAUGUCAGAAAUAAUUUAGUACGGGCUGGGGAUUUAGCUCAGUGAUUCCAUCACCUGCCUCGCAAGCACAAGGUCCUGAGUUUGAUCCCCAGUACCAGAAAAACAAAAAAGAAAGAAAGAAAUAAUUUAGUACAAAAGCUUAUAGGUAAAAGACAUCAAGCCCCAAAGAAGCUAGAAGACCGCUACAGAAUAUACAGGGUUACACUAUGAGAGUCCAACUACCUAGUAAAGAAUGGUCAUAACUUCUGGAUUGUUACUGUUAAAGUUUGUUUUCUUUCUGCUACAUACUGCCUGGGAUGAAAUGUUAUGAAUUUCCCCCUGAAAUUUAAUAGUGCGAUUUGCAUUAAUAGCAA
ensembl:lncRNA